AUUGAACGCUGGCGGCAGGCCUAACACAUGCAAGUCGAACGAGUGGCGGACGGGUGAGUAGUGUCUGGGAAACUGCCCGAUGGAGGGGUAUAACUACUGGAAACGGUAGCUAAUACCGCAUACCAUCGGAUGAUCCCAGAUGGGAUUAGCUAGUAGGUGGGGUAACGGCUCACCUAGGCGACUAGCCCUAGCUGGUCUGAGAGGAUGACCAGCCACACUGGAACGGAGACACGGUCCAGACUCCUACGGGAGGCAGCAGUGGGGAAUAUUGCACAAUGGGCGCAAGCCUGAUGCAGCCAUGCCGCGUGUAUGAAGAAGGCCUUAGGGUUGUAAAGUACUUUCAGUGAGGAGGCGUUACUCGCAGAAGAAGCACCGGCUAACUCCGUGCCAGCAGCCGCGGUAAUAC
rnacentral:rRNA from 1 species